CCUACGGGGCGCAGCAGUAGGGAAUCUUCCACAAUGGGCGAAAGCCUGAUGGAGCAACGCCGCGUGAAUGAAGAAGGUCUUCGGAUUGUAAAGUUCUUUAAUUGGGGACGAAAAAAAUGACGGUACCCAAGGAAUAAGCCCCGGCUAACUACGUGCCAGCAGCCGCGGUAAUACGUAGGGGGCAAGCGUUGUUCGGAAUGACUGGGCGUAAAGGGUGUGUAGGCGGUUUAGCAAGUUAGAAGUGAAAUACCUAGAGCUUAACUCAGGUGCUGCUUCUAAAACUGCUAGACUUUAGUG
rnacentral:rRNA from 1 species